rnacentral:rRNA from 1 species
CGGGACGGGUGAGUAACGCGUGGGUAACCUGCCUCAUACAGGGGGAUAACAGUUAGAAAUGACUGCUAAUACCGCAUAAGCGCACAGUACCGCAUGGUACAGUGUGAAAAACUCCGGUGGUGUGAGAUGGAUCCGCGUCUGAUUAGCCAGUUGGCGGGGUAACGGCCCACCAAAGCGACGAUCAGUAGCCGACCUGAGAGGGUGACCGGCUACAUUGGGACUGAGACACGGCCCAA